GUGCACCAGGCGAGAAACCUCCGCAAUGCACGCAAGUGCGACGGGGGAACCCCAAGUGCCACUCUUAACGGGGUGGCUUUUCAGAAGUGUAAAAAGCUUCUGGAAUAAGGGCUGGGCAAGACCGGUGCCAGCCGCCGCGGUAACACCGGCAGCUCAAGUGGUAGCCGCUUUUAUUGGGCCUAAAGCGUCCGUAGCCGGUCUGAUAAGUCUCUGGUGAAAUCCCACAGCUUAACUGUGGGAAUUGCUGGAGAUACUAUCAUGACUCGAGGUCGGGAGAGGCUGGAGGUACUCCCAGGGUAGGGGUGAAAUCCUGUAAUCCUGGGAGGACCACCUGUGGCGAAGGCGUCCAGCUGGAACGAACCUGACGGUGAGGGACGAAAGCCAGGGGCGCGAACCGGAUUAGAUACCCUCGUAGUCC
rnacentral:rRNA from 1 species